CUGCUCAAGGGCCACCUUCUCAGGGCAGCCUUCCUUGAUUGCCCUAGGAAGACAUUGUUGGAGCAACAGCUUAGAGAAUCAAGGAGAAUGUGACUGUGUCUUUCAACCCACAAUGAUCCAUGCAACAGUAUCUUCCAGAUUUUCCAAUAGGCCAAAGAGAAAGUCUCCAACGAUGCUUUUAACAUCUUUUGAAUACCCAUGGAUCACGUGUGUGCUCUCCCAGUCUCUUUUGCUCUCUCUCUCAUCUGGACAAAGCUGAUCUUGGACCCAGAACUUCUACAGACAAUGAGUACAAAGUGGCCCUGGAGAAGCUAUGGAGGUGUUGGCAUUUUCUGAUAAAGUGAUUGUCUGGGACCAGGCUGGUGCUGGGGGCCUGAUGUUACAAGGGAACUUGUGAUGGUAAUGGAAUGUUCUGUUUUGACUGAGGUAGUGGUUACGUGGGUGUGUAUAUUUGUUAAAAUAUGUUGCACUGUGCACCUAAAUAGAUGCAUUUUAUUCUGUAUAGAUUUUACCUCAAUAAAGUUGAUUUUAAAACACA